GAGGGUAUAACUCAGUGGUAGAGUUCAUGCUUAGAAUGCAUGAGGGUCCUGGGUUCAAUCCCCAGUACCUCCA